AAUUUGAAAUCUGGCUCCUUUGGAGUCCGAGUUGUAAUUUGUAGAGGAUGUUUCGGGCACCGCUCCGGUUUAAAUUUCUUGGAACAGAAUGUCAAAGAGGGUGAGAAUCCCGUCUUGAACCGGUGGUAGGGUCCAUGUGAAACCCCUUCGACGAGUCGAGUUGUUUGGGAAUGCAGCUCUAAAUGGGUGGUAAAUUUCAUCUAAAGCUAAAUAUUGGCCAGAGACCGAUAGCGCACAAGUAGAGUGAUCGAAAGAUGAAAAGCACUUUGAAAAGAGAGUUAAACAGUAUGUGAAAUUGUUGAAAGGGAAGCGCUUGCAAUCAGACUUGAGUGUGGUGGUUCCCCUGUCCUUUUGGUCAGGUUACUCCAUCAUAUCCAGGCCAGCAUCAGUUUCGGUGGUGGGUUAAAGGCCUCGGGAAUGUAUCUACCCUUCGGGGUCGGCUUAUAGCC
rnacentral:rRNA from 1 species